UACGGAGGGUGCAAGCGUUAAUCGGAAUUACUGGGCGUAAAGCGCACGCAGGCGGUCAGUCAAGUCGGAUGUGAAAUCCCCGAGCUCAACCUGGGAACUGCAUCUGAAACUGGCAGACUAGAGUCUUGUAGAGGGGGGUAGAAUUCCAUGUGUAGCGGUGAAAUGCGUAGAGAUGUGGAGGAAUACCGGUGGCGAAGGCGGCCCCCUGGACAAAGACUGACGCUCGGGUGCGAAAGCGUGGGGAGCAAACAGG
rnacentral:rRNA from 1 species